AUGCCGCGGCCGAGAAAAAGUAACGCCUCUCUUUCUCCCAUCCCCGCGCCACCCUAUCUCCCGCUGCCGCAGCCACCACACCCCGCCGCCCCCACCGAUGACCAUCCCUUCAGCGGGAAUGGAAAUCAUCCACGCGUCGCCGCCCGUGCCGAAGAAGAGUUUGGGGAUGAAAAAACCCACCGGGUUCAAACUCCUCCUCCAACUACGUCAAUGGCCUCUCGGGUGGCCACCUCUCCGGCAAUGGCCUGCCACCCUCCCGCCGAGCCAAACGAGCUCGAAAGCCACGGCGGCAGCAGCGAAGCUCGUCGAGGCGGGCGCGAAGAAGGUGAAGAAAGGCAAAGCGGUGCCUCGUCCAAGGCCGAUGCCUCGUGCAGCUACUCCGCCCCCCCUACGGCCAAUGCUUUGGUGCGGGCGGCGGCCACAGCCGGCAACAAGCAUCGCGGCCACCAAGUGCUCGAUGAAAUGCCUACAAGGUAA
rnacentral:rRNA from 1 species